CAUUUUUUCCCCGCACCGUAUAAGUCUGCACCGCCGCCAAAACCCUAGAUCCCCAAAUCCACCACGCGCGCGCCGCUCCGAGCUCUCCCGGCCGCCCCCCACCACGCGUGCGCCACUCGACUGCUCCAACUCGUUCGAAUCGGGCUCCGCAGCAACACCGUCAGUCGCCCCCAAGCGGUCGAGCUCUCUCCACCGCCCGACGUGCUCUUUCCGGCCGGCGGCGGCGCUACCGGUCCGGCGAGCACGACCUGCCACGACUCGUUCGGCUCGCACACGCUGUCACCUUCCUGCCGCCACCAUGCGCUCGAGCUCUCUCAGGCCGGCAGCGGCUCUCGCAUCCGGUGGCCAACUGAGAGCCCUGCCUUUCCGAAGCUGCCGCUGGCGCAGCUCACACCCAUCUGUAGAUCGUGGUGAUUUUCCUCUACGCCCAACCCAGUGAGGUUUAUUGCUCCCAGCGACUCAAGACCUCCCAGGGACGAGACAACCACGCCCCCCUUCUUGUCAUUAUUUUCAGGAUUCUUACUCCAGGAGGCUCAAGAAUUCCUCGUUGCGGCGCAAAAAUCGUCAUCCCUCCUUGCCUCCCCACCAGUUGGUGCACCCCAAAUAUGAAUUAUCAUGCAUCACUUGUGUCACAAUCCACCAAGUAGAUUCCAGCUUCACAUCAACGGGAUGUCUUGUAUAAUGGAGUGAUUUCUGUCUAAUUGAAUGCUUAUUUGUUACCAUUUUGUAAGCUUGGCUAUGUGGUAAUCAUUUGGAAACCAUCUGUAAACCUGAUUAUGGUAACUAGUUAGCUAUCAUUUUGUAAA